UACGUAGGGUGCGAGCGUUGUCCGGAAUUAUUGGGCGUAAAGAGCUCGUAGGCGGUCUGUCGCGUCGAUCGUGAAAACUUGGGGCUUAACCCUGAGCUUGCGGUCGAUACGGGCAUGACUGGAGUUCGGCAGGGGAGACUGGAAUUCCUGGUGUAGCGGUGAAAUGCGCAGAUAUCAGGAGGAACACCGAUGGCGAAGGCAGGUCUCUGGGCCGAUACUGACGCUGAGGAGCGAAAGCGUGGGGGAGCGAACAGG
rnacentral:rRNA from 1 species